UGACCUUGUGAAACAGAAAGUACUAUUCCAGAGGCAUUCGUUCUUUUAGGAUUGCUCUAGGUAACGAUACAGAUAUUCUCUUCUUUCUUCUCCGCGCCUCCAUGAACGAACCCUAAAAUUUCAGAUCUUCAUUGUUCUCCUUACAGCCAUGGCCGACUCCCUGGCUAAGCGACGCCUUUCGAUGUUUUACAAAUCAACAACUUAUCCUUAUCCACUCAUAUCUAUUUCUCGUCCUAGUUCUCGUCCUUGUUACGAGAUAGUUUUCUGUAUGUCUUUUUGGCAAGGUAAGGACUUGGACGAAGAAUUAACAGAUUGGUAUUCCGUUAAACUUUAUGCCCAAUCUCCAGGGGAGAUAACAAAUAUUUCUCCGUUUUGGAAAGGGUAUGCUCCAAAACGGUCCAGCGUUGAAGCCGUAGGCCAAUCGAUAUACUAUUUUGGUGGCUACCGUCGUUCUGAUUCUACUCGAUCACGCGAUGUCUAUAGUCUUUGCAUUAAGACGCGAAAUCGAAAUCAGUUGUCUGCGAUGCCUUCCAUGAUAGUCCCAAGAAUUGAACCUCACACUUUCGUGCUUGAUGACAAGAUAUAUGUUCUCUCCGGUCAUCAGGAUCAUCUGGGUGCGCCUGAAAUUGAAGCCUAUGAUCCCAAAACUGGAGAGUCCAAGGCCUUGCCUCAUCUUCCAUCUCCUCUGGGAUAUAGCUUUAUUUGUGCAGCUCUUGAGAAUCCAAGCAGGAUUAUCGUUGCUUCUCCAACAGAAAAGGAGGAGGAGGAGACAGCAGUGUUUUAUCAAUAUGACUUGCUGAAAGAGUGUUGGAUCUCGCUUCAGGAACGCAGGUUACACUUUUUGUGUCCUCUGGGAGAUCUCCCAGAAGGUGGAAAUGCUGUCACGGCAGGAAAUAGUCUCUACUGGGUAACUAGUGACAAGACAAAGCUGCUGGCCUACGUGGUAGAUGACAACUUGUGGCUGUUAGGGUCUCUACAAGGUCUUGGGAUUUCCUUUGUUGAAGAAGUUGGCUAUGAUGGGCCCAAUCCUUUUAGUUUUAUCCAUUUGGAGAACGAGAGAUUCUGCUUAAUUGGUAGUGAUUCGAAUUCGGAGGUUCUGUGUUUCAUUAUUGAGGUUUAUCACAGGAAUUUGGAUGUUGAUCGGAAUCCCAUUGACAAGAAACUGGAUUGUUAUCGGAAACCUGGUGACAAGAGAUUGGAAAUUUCAGUAGUGUCCAUGCAUACAUAUAAGACGAAGUGGACCUCUCACGUAAGAGGUUGCAUUUUACUGGGUAAGUACGUAGAUUCAGAGAAAAAGUCAAGCAAGAAGGAAGGUAUUCCCCAUUUCAUGUUCUUAUGCAAGCACUUUAUAUCAUGACAUUGUCCAAUGCUCUCAGAGGAAUAUGUUUUUAUUUUUUCCUUCUUCUUUUCAUGAGGACCCUGAAUAUUUAUUGUGGCUCCUGUUGUAUAAUUCCAUUUUAGAACAUUAUUAUCUACAAUAUCCUGAAUAAUAUGUCUGCUUGAUAUACAUUUUUGGCAAUGUCUGCACCCAUGGCCAUUCUUCUAUAAGUGAUGAACAGAAGUAGGUAAUGGUCAUAAAAUACACAUUUCCAAUGCCUAGAAAUCCAAUUAAGUAUGUGUUCCUUUUUACCUUGUUAAAGAUUUUCUAUUUUCCCCCGUUGCUUCUAUUUUUGUCAUUUUGUGUAAAAUAAUUUUCUCUGGUUAACAGCUUUUUCAUUUUCAUUUACUCAUUAAUCCUUCUUUUUUUUUUCGAUAUUUUUCUUCGCUAAAGCGAUAGGAUUUAUUAUUCAUUUUAACCCCUAGGGGUUGGCCCAAGUGGUGAAGGCCUUGGUCUUGAGGUUUGCUCCCUUCAAGGUCCAAGGUUCAACACCUCAUGGGUGCAAACAAUUUUUUGGGGUCAUCCCCUGGUGAAAACCUAGCGACUUAACUAGUUCUGUGUAGGGAAACUUCCUACGGUGCGGUGCACGGGACUGGGGUUUACUCAGCAGAGGUGGGUCCGAAGGGCCCUGCCUUGGAGAGGUUCCCCGACAUAAAAAAAAUAUUAACUAAAUAAAUAAAUAAGAGAUUUAUUAUUCAUUUUAUUUUUUCUGUUCAUGCAGAUUGAUAUUAUUGGAAUAGAAUGCCAAACAUGUUAUGCGGAGGUUGCUGCUACAUUGCUACAUCUUAUAUGGAAAAUAUGUGGUUGAACUUGAAGUUGGUUUAAUUGAUUCAAAUACUAAGCCCUUUUGCCCUGAAGAUCUUUUUGCUGCGUCAUGCUAUAAUAUGCCGCUACACCAAUUGCAGGACUUUCAUCUGAUGCUUAUGCUCUGUCAAAAGUGUAUAAUUUUAGGGUUAGCUAGAAACUUGGCUGCUAAGCUUGGCCAACAUGGUAUAAGAGUAAAUUGUGUGUCGCCUGAUGCCUUCGUGACUGCUAUGUUUGCAAACCUUUUUGGUGGAUGGCUCCUGGUAUUAUGAUGAGGUUUCUAUUUAGCAAUAUUUAAGAAAUUCGCUUAUUUGAAUUGCCCGUGCUUAUCAUGAUGGCUAGAAUUUUAAUGUAUUUGUUAUUGUGAAUAAUAAGCCCCACGGGGGAGCUACAUACCCCAGUGUACUUCAGGAGGUUUCCUUUUUGGACGAAGUGUCAAAAAUUUCCUUCGAGAAAUUUCUUCCAAUCUGGUCUAUUCAAAUGUUAUUGUGUUUA